rnacentral:tRNA from 1 species
AAUAGUUUAAAUAGAACUUCAGCUUUGGGUGUUGAUAGUGGGGCUAUGGCUUCUUCCUUG